rnacentral:lncRNA from 1 species
GAAAACAUGGAGCCUACCCACGGACCCAAGGGAAACUGGUGACAAAGCAAGUAUCUGCAAGGAAAAAAGAUAAUGAAGAUGCUGAAAUAAACAUCAUAUUUCAGAUGAGGCUGCUGAGACAUGGAUGUUGGAUGUCUGUUUUGUUGUACGGAAGUUGUACACAGGAGAAUGAGAAUGGUGCUAUAGUGAAGCUAUAGUGAAGCUACUCUGUGAAGCCAAGGUGACCUGAGCAGAUCACAAGUAAUUUUUCUAUGUGGCAAGUUCAGGAGCUAACAACUAAUGGAGUGACACGUGAGGGAAAUUGCAAACCGUUUUAGAACUGCUGGACAAUUCGUCAGCUCUUGCUUCAUUUGUCAUGUAUGUACAAAAGCUGCUAUACAUUAUUAUGCCUAUGCUGUAUUGCACUACUGUAGCCUAGAUGGGGAUAGUUUUGAUUAUUUCCUUUUCCUGAUAGGUAAAUGCUGAGCUGCUACUCAGUUUGAGCAGUUUUCUUAUUCAUACAGAUCAUUCAGCGGCCAAAGCUGGUUUUUUAUAGUUUAAUAGAAAGUAAAUGGGGAAUUGGCUUUACUGAAGUAGCUCAGGGGGAUGAAAACAUUAAGAUUCACUGUUGUCUGGGGAGUUUUUUUAGUUUUCUAAGUGAUCUUUAAGCAUCCAAGAAACAGUAGCUCAUUUGUUUAUUAAUACGCUAUUUAAUUGUUAUUGGUGUAUAUCCUAAGCAUUAAUGUCUAUUGCAAUUGAUAGUUGCUAUUUACAACAAA